CCUACCGAUCAUCGAACUGGUAGAGGUACUGGUAUAGUGGUAUAAUGGUAUAAUGGUCGCGACUUGUCAUAGUCAACAAGGUAUAAUGUGCGAAGAUAGGCUCAAGCUAAGAUUCUACUCGUGAGCAUAAUGGUAUAAGCUUGCCUGACUGUGAGACCGACUGGUCGAACAGAGACGAAAGUCGGCCAUAGUGAUCCGGGAGUCUCGUCUGGAAGGGCUCUCGCUCAACAGAUCGAAGGUACGAUGGGGAUAACAGGCUGAUGACUCCCGAGAGCUCUUAUCGUCGGAGUUGUUUGGCACCUCGAUGUCGACUCAUCACAUCCUAGGGUUGAAGAAGGUAUCGGUGGUUUACUAAUUAAACCAUAUACCGGUGAAAUUAGCUAGACAUAUAUAAUAUA